AAAAAUCUUCUUUACUCCUAAAACAAACAAAAGCAAGGCCAAUCUUUCAAAAACCAGAUUUCGAUCAUCGGUAGCUGGCUAGACUGUAACUCGUCGCCAUCGGCUGUUUUCUUUUCCAAAAAGAACCCAAACUCCUUUUGACCUCCUCAUCAUAGAUCCAAGCUUGGAUUUUCCUAAUUGCCAUCUAGAGUCCUAGAUCUGAGUGGAAACCUGAAACAAACCGAUGUAAAAUUUCAUCCCACCAACCAGUUUGGCCAAAAUUUCAAUACGUUGUUCCCAUUUUUUUUCCUCUCUCUUUCCACCAUCUAGAUUGUCCAAAGAAAGUCACCGUGGACUGUCCCUACGUUGCCACCACUCUUCUAUUGUCAUCGUCGCCGGCCAUGGCUCUCCUCCGUCUUGAUUCUCUUACUCCAUACCAAAAUAAGAACCCACCUAUUGGUUAAAACCGAAACUGCUAUUUUUUUGUUAUUUUCUUUGAUUGGUUCAUCUAUAGAAAAUUGUGGUUGUUUGUGACUUCUUUUUGGCUUUGUUGGCCUUUAGAUGGUUUUAGGAGUUUAGAACGAGGGCCACUAAAGAGUGUUGGUUAUGGCAAUGGGAGUUUCGGUUUGAGGUGUUGGCAGGGAGGGGGAUUUUGAUGGUGGUAGCUUCGGGUAUGGUGGGUUGGUGAUGAUGAUGAGAGGGCAAGUAAUGGUGGCACAAACUGACGAAGGGAAGGGCUGUUUAGGAUGGAUGGUUGGACUGGGAUCUUCAUUUUGGUGGUGGUGGGUUUUGGUUGUGCUUGAAAGGUGUGAUUGGGCUGGGAUUUUUCUUUGGGUUCUUCCACCUCUGUAAAAUUUAGCUCCUUCCAAAAUCCUUUUCCUUUGGUUAUUGUAGAACCACCAUUUAUAAAGGACAUAGAAAUUCAAAGUUUUUGUAGAGCUGUACAGCAAGCUGCUGCAUUUUGGAUGAUGUGCUUGCUGCCAUCUGAGUUAUAUAUGGGUUCUGAUUUCAUUAAUCCAAGUUAGAGGGUCAGUAAGGUAAAAGGAAGAGUAAAGCUAGAAAUGGACAAGUGAAUUUAGGAAGGGAAAAAUGAGGGGAAGGGAAGCUGCUAGCAACCGAGAUUUUUUUUUACAUUUUGUUAUUUUUUUAAAUUUUCAAUUAAUUAAAAGCAAUAAAAUGAAAUUAGGCGUUAAAAUAGGAUUUAGACUAUUUUAGACUUUG
rnacentral:lncRNA from 1 species